rnacentral:rRNA from 1 species
ACGAACGCUGGCGGCGUGCCUAAUACAUGCAAGUAGAACGCUGAAGAGAGGAGCUUGCUCUUCUUGGAUGAGUUGCGAACGGGUGAGUAACGCGUAGGUAACCUGCCUUGUAGCGGGGGAUAACUAUUGGAAACGAUAGCUAAUACCGCAUAACAAUGGAUGACACAUGUCAUUUAUUUGAAAGGGGCAAUUGCUCCACUACAAGAUGGACCUGCGUUGUAUUAGCUAGUAGGUGAGGUAACGGCUCACCUAGGCGACGAUACAUAGCCGACCUGAGAGGGUGAUCGGCCACACUGGGACUGAGACACGGCCCAGACUCCUACGGGAGGCAGCAGUAGGGAAUCUUCGGCAAUGGGGGCAACCCUGACCGAGCAACGCCGCGUGAGUGAAGAAGGUUUUCGGAUCGUAAAGCUCUGUUGUAAGUCAAGAACGAGUGUGAGAGUGGAAAGUUCACACUGUGACGGUAGCUUACCAGAAAGGGACGGCUAACUACGUGCCAGCAGCCGCGGUAAUACGUAGGUCCCGAGCGUUGUCCGGAUUUAUUGGGCGUAAAGCGAGCGCAGGCGGUUUGAUAAGUCUGAAGUUAAAGGCUGUGGCUCAACCAUAGUUCGCUUUGGAAACUGUCAAACUUGAGUGCAGAAGGGGAGAGUGGAAUUCCAUGUGUAGCGGUGAAAUGCGUAGAUAUAUGGAGGAACACCGGUGGCGAAAGCGGCUCUCUGGUCUGUAACUGACGCUGAGGCUCGAAAGCGUGGGGAGCGAACAGGAUUAGAUACCCUGGUAGUCCACGCCGUAAACGAUGAGUGCUAGGUGUUGGAUCCUUUCCGGGAUUCAGUGCCGCAGCUAACGCAUUAAGCACUCCGCCUGGGGAGUACGACCGCAAGGUUGAAACUCAAAGGAAUUGACGGGGGCCCGCACAAGCGGUGGAGCAUGUGGUUUAAUUCGAAGCAACGCGAAGGACCUUACCAGGUCUUGACAUCCCGAUGCUAUUUCUAGAGAUAGAAAGUUACUUCGGUACAUCGGUGACAGGUGGUGCAUGGUUGUCGUCAGCUCGUGUCGUGAGAUGUUGGGUUAAGUCCCGCAACGAGCGCAACCCCUAUUGUUAGUUGCCAUCAUUCAGUUGGGCACUCUAGCGAGACUGCCGGUAAUAAACCGGAGGAAGGUGGGGAUGACGUCAAAUCAUCAUGCCCCUUAUGACCUGGGCUACACACGUGCUACAAUGGUUGGUACAACGAGUUGCGAGUCGGUGACGGCAAGCUAAUCUCUUAAAGCCAAUCUCAGUUCGGAUUGUAGGCUGCAACUCGCCUACAUGAAGUCGGAAUCGCUAGUAAUCGCGGAUCAGCACGCCGCGGUGAAUACGUUCCCGGGCCUUGUACACACCGCCCGUCACACCACGAGAGUUUGUAACACCCGAAGUCGGUGAGGUAACCUUUUGGAGCCAGCCGCCUAAGGUGGGAUAGAUGAUUGGGGUG